UAUUAAAAAUUUCAUCUAUUUUUAUUGUUAAAAAAUGACGUGACAGAUAGAAUAACUAGACAAUUUCAUGUGGAGUGUCUUGGGUUACUCAUAUUGGUGUAAACGGACUAAUUUUUAAUGUAGAAAUUGAUGAAAUUUUUAAUA
rfam:Gossypium raimondii Chr11_contig_577, whole genome shotgun sequence.